rnacentral:sRNA from 1 species
UUCAUCGUCCUUGACAGGGCUCGGCGCCUUC